ACACCUCAGUGUCACUGCUGGACUAAGAACAGUCCACUAAUCAAAAAUACCCAGCCAACAGCAUCCUGUGAGCAGCGUCCUGUGACCACUGAUGUAGGACUAGCAGAUGACUACACAACACACACUCCACGGCAACAGAUAAGCUACUGUCUCAGACUUUACAUCUACUGGGUGGACUAACAAGGUCGGUGUGUCUAAUAGAGUGGGCAGUGAGUGGACACCGCGUUUAAAACUCCAGCAACACUGCUGUGUUUGAUCCACUCGUACCAGCACAACACACAUUAACAUACCACCACCACAUCAGUUAUAUUUGUUUUCACCCGUUUGUGUCAUAUACAUGCAAUUCAUAAAUUAAAUUAGUUAUAUUAGCAUUAAUGAGAUCCAGCUGCAGUUUUUCUUCUAUUUCAGUGAUGCACACAAAAUUGAGUGCUAAUAGCUCAUCCUUGUGGGGAGAAUCUUCAGCCUGUUAACCAUCAGUGAGUGAAUGUGUGAGCCAAACAUCUAACAUGUCCAAAUUAAUGUAAUUCACUCACUCAGCCUGUUUGAGACAUCUGGCAGAAAAUGAAUUAAAACUCAAAAGAGCUGUCCCAACAGUCCCAACCUUUACUAACUCACAGCCCAUACAACCAACUACAAAAGCUUCCAUGGCCCACAAGAUUUUAAGAACCAGGCGCCGUAUUACAGAAACUUCCUAUCUUUUUGUCUUAAGUAAAGAUCUGACAGGUAAAGAUAACCUUUUUGGUGACACUUUAUUUUGAGUGGUCCUUUUAGAUGAAACAAACACUCAAUAAAUGCUAAGUAGCAUGUCAAAAACGUACAAGGGUUAGGAUUAGGUUUUGGGUAAGGAUGGGUAAAGUUAGGUUUUGUGUAACGGAAGUAACAUUAACAACACAUCUAGUUAAUGUAAGUAAUGUAUCAACAGAACAUCUACAAGAUAUUUACUUCAUUGUAGUCAAAUGCGUCACUACUGCUUCUUCACCGAUAUGUUGUUGAUGUGUUACUGAUAAUCUGUUAAGAGUUUAUUAAUCCUCUACAAAGGACCACUUCAAAUAAAGUGUUAGUAGAUUUACCACAAAUUCAUAUAACAGAAGUAAAUCUUAUCUUAACUGAGGAGUCUUAUCUUACAGCAUCAUCUCAAGUUAGGAAAUCUUAAUUUAUUUGAUCUAAGUCGACGAUCAACUGUCAUGCCUGUUAACUAGCAACCGACCAUCUGUGCACAGAUGAAACGUAAACACAUAAAUCAAUAUAAUCAUGUUAGUUAGCUACUGGUACUGGAGUAAAAAGGUCGAACAAAACUAAGACGCGAUGAACUUGAAGUUAAGAAUAUUGUGACGGUAUUUUGAGCUGUUUAUCAGACUCUUUAGCCAAGCUCGCUAACGUUAUUCCUCCUAAUAGACAGACACACGUUCAGCUCUGUCUCCUCAUCAUUCACCUCCAUCACUGUAAUAUUUUAUCUGAUGAGUUUAUCAACAUUAACACAUGAAGAUAAUAAGAGUGGCUGGUGGAGACUGUGUGUGCAGCGUCUGGGGUUUUUAAACAUUGUUAGAAAAACAGUGUUUCGAUGUAGAUAAAUGUAGCAUCAUUAUGCUGGUUAUAGUGAACGAUGCUGCCUGUCACCGCAUAAAACAAUAGAAACAGGCACUUAAAACAGUAGUUAAGACAGCUCUGGGUUUGUCUUAAAGUUAGGACUGUAUGUAGGAAAUUUUGUCUAGUUCCUUUCUGUUAUACUGUUUUCUUAUCCGAGUUUGGAUAUGUUUAUAAACCGUUGUUUUGCAGCUUCUUCCUAAAUUUAGUCCUAACUGAUGUUGUCAUGGUGACUAAACAGAAAGAUUUCAGACCUAAGAUGUUUCUGUAAUACGGCCCCAGAUCAUUUAAAGUGCAAACAAAUAUAGUACAAAAAUCAUCGUAGCUUGUCAAUUUUGCUCGAUUUUAUAACAUAAUGGAUCACAAUAAACACUAAAAAUAGCCAAACAUUUUCUAACUCACCUAAUGAGUUGAGCUGAUGUUGUUUGGCAACCACCAAGUGCUGGAUGACAGGCUGAAGAAAUGAAAGCUGUGAAAGGAGGUCUGGUUCAGUUCAUUGGGUUUAGAGCUUUAUUCAUUUAGCGUCCAUCUGACGGCAUAAUUUGUUUGGAUACAACACUUCAUUUAAAAAAGAUGAACUUUUUUUCAUCAAAGAGGGGCAGUUAUUUGUAUUCUGUUCUUGGACAUGUGAAGCCUAAAUGCUUUUAUACACCUAACACGAUUUAUCUGUGUAGUAUUUCCUGAUGACAGUGACUUAAUUCGAUUUUGUGUAUUGCUGAUGAAAUCCUGCACACCAAAUGUGAUUUCUGAACAGUGAAAAUGCGACACUAUUUUAUUUGCUCUCUGUUUGAUAUUUGUGAACUUUUGCUGGAUUCCUCUGCUUUCUCACGGAUGGUGUUAGCAUCUCCAAAAGCAGCACAAACUGAGCUCAGACAGAGUUUCUCAGUGUCCUUAUUUGCUCACUUUAUGUGGUCAGCCUUCUUUUCCUGCAAAAAGAAGUGCAGUCAUACA